CUGGCGGCCGCCUGGGCUGCGGCCCUGAGAGUCAGGUGGCUGCAAAGGACAACCCGCGGUGUGGUGCCACUGGAGGCACCGAGAGCCUUCCACAUGACCAAGGCCAUGUUGCCAGGGACAUAUCCUAGGACCCCAGAAGAACGGGCCGCAGCCACCAAGAAGUGUAAUAUGCGUGUGGAAGACUCCGAGCCAUUCCCAGAUGAUGGCAUCGGGUAAUGGUGACUACCCGAUGCUUCCCCAACAGAUCGCAGCAUGAGAGGGAUCCGUGGUAUGAUGGGACCACCCAGACCUCAGGCUGACCUAGGGUGAACCGAUACACUGGGACCUAGACAUUUACGUCAGGAUCAGGAGUCGUGUGGACACGUCGCCUACACCUGCUUCCUGAGAUGAUGUCAUGUGUAAACACUGCUUCGGCUUCGUGGCUUUCAUGGUUUUCAUGUUCUGGGUAAGGGACAUGUUCCCUUCUUAAAGCAGUACCCUUACAAUAAUCCGCCCGUGGAGUGAGGUGGUGAUCCUACGAAAGAGCCCGAGCCCGUGGUUCACUAUGAUAUC